GCUACUAUCUAGAUCUACUCUAGUUUAGAGAAGAGAGGAGAGCUCUCAUCUCUAAACCCUAGCUUUUGAUCUGUCUAUGAAUAAUGAAUAAUGAUCAAGGGGUGCCUCCUCCAGGGGCCAGGGGGUCUGGUUAUAUAGUCCCCUCAAGUGAACCUGGGCCGUCGGAUCAAACCGACAUUGAUCGUGAGAUUUUCCUUGAAGUAUUAGGUCGGUGGAGCAUGAUCCGCGAAGUUGACGCUGAUUGGUUACUGUAGCUAGGCGGGCACCCAAGGGACUUGGGCGGGCGCCCUGCCCCCGGGCCCGAUCGGCCUCCCGUUCGUUCCCGUGGCUUCUGGAGUCUUCUAGAUGGUAGAAAAUUGCGCGGCACGUUAAUAUCUCUAUGUAAACCCGACGUGUGGGCCUUUCUUUCAUAUUUCCUGAUAACCCCCUGCAGAAAUAGACAAACACCAAAACUCAUGGAAUUCUGUCAGAUAAAACCCUAAGUCUAGAUGUUGAUUUCAUUUGGAUCCUUUUCUUUGUUUAUUUGUUAAUUAAAUUUGAUACUUAAGGACCGUCAACAAACUCCCCCAAGCUUACCUCUUGCUCGUCCCUGAGCAAGGAUAGACUCAGCAACGGAUCAAAAGUUGUUGCAAUAUCUUAAAUAUUUGAUGGUACACAUGCUUUUAAAUAAGAUCUCAUCUCUGAGUUAGAGUAAACUGUCAAGAACUAAAACUUACUUACUUUACCUUUCACCAUGGGACUUGUAACCGUCAUUUCUGUCUUGAGUAGUUAAAAGAUAGAACAGUCUAGCCAAGUGCCAUGUCUCUUAUUCUUGAUCAGCUAUAGCUCUGGAGUUUUUUGCAGAUUUUCAAAUAAAACUCAGAGAUUCCUUGUAUGACUCUCUAAAUCUCUCUUUUGUGGUAUUUCUGGAUCCUUACCAAGGCAAUGAUGGUAUAUGCCUUCUCUCAAGAUAUGUGGUAUUUGUGGUAUAAGGCAUAGUGACAUUGCCUUCUCUCUCACCCUACUCUAAUAAGGCUUUAAUAUCUGGAGCUCAUAGGUGGGAGACAGCUAAUACAUACUUACAAGACAUUUAUUGCAUAGUCAAACCAUGGAUCCAGAGAAACAAGUCAAUAAGUCAAAUCAAGAUGUGCAUGUGUGGCGAAUGAAUCGUGUAUGGUGAUGAUGGUGAUAACAAUGGUGGAAGUCAAAUUCUACUUUUGCUCUUUUGGUGGAAGUCAAAUUCUACUUCCUUGCUUUUUGAAACUUUAUGAGGAGAAUGAGAUGCUCUUCUUUUUUUCUUUCCUCUCAGGUGGGUAUCUUGUACCCCUAAUUCUACUAUCGGACACUUGUCCAUUUUUACCUCUCGUCUCACUUUUUCUUUUUUUUUCGAGGUUCCGAGCACUUGCCCCUUUUUAUUUCCUCGUUUAUUAUUUUUUUUCUUCUCUUUUCUUUUUUUCAGAGCACUCAUCUCUUGAGAUAAUAUAGCAAGUGGUAGUAGCAAGAUAACUUGAGUAUUUAUUUCACAAUGGAAAACAGAAAUAUUUUUGGCUAUUCUCUCCCGGAUUAGGAGUAGAAUAUUUUUGGGUGGUUCUGGAGAUGGACAUGGAUGGAUAUAUGUGGAUGGUACUUCCAGAGUAGAAGUAGCAUAUAUGAGUGAACGUGCAAGUGAAACCUUGAUUUAACCACAUGACAAGCUCCUAAGGUUCUACACAGCUUGACCACACUCAAUGCUCAUAAGCAGUAAAUAAUAAAUGUGUGGCUCAAAGUCUAGCAAGCAUGUAUAUAUGGCUGUGGUAGGAAUUUAAACUCUCAUCAUACAGGAACUCAUCAUGCAAUAUUUUAAAGAUUUUUCAAAGAUAAAAUUCUCCAGAAUUCUAGCAUCUCUAGGAACAGAUAAACAGCAGCUCAACCUUCCCAUAUCAUAUCCGUUAACAACUUAGAUUUCACAUCAAGUUUUCAUCCCACAAGUUUAGAUCUAGAGCAAGCUUUAAAUUAUAACAGUUAUGUCUAAACUUGAGAGAGAACUUCAAAUGUGCAAAUUAGGCAGAGCAACUAUUCAUCAUAUCCAUGCUAGAGUUUUAUUAUUAAGAUUCAGAUUAGCAUAGCCACUUUAUUUAUUUAUUAAACACAUUAAGCAAAAGAUAUAUAUAUAAGCACAAAAUCUUUAUUUGGUUUUUCAUAGUUUAUGUAUUUUAAUAUUCUAAUAUAAUAUAAGUAUAAAGAUAGGUAGAAAUACUUAGCGAGAUAAAUGGGGGUGCUCUCCCCCAAGCUGAAUUUUGACGUAAUUUCUCUUGAUGUAGCUAGCAGGUGGCAGAGGUGUAUUUGGAAGUCAGCAGCAUUCUGACAGCGAUUAGAAUGUCCUCCGUCUGCUAGUCUUCUUGAUUCUUAAAUUCUAUGGAGCUCAAAUAGACAACAAAGCUUGUGGAACUAAUUAAGUGUUAGCAUAAAUAUCUAGCCUUCAUCAUGUUGAGCUUCCUCAAUAAAUAUUACUCCCUGUUUUUUUAUUUUUAUUUUAUAAAGCAGAAAAGAAAUAUUUAUUUUAUUUUUAUGCCACCACAGUGAAGGUACUUAUGGGUUUUAUGCCACUCGUAUACUCAUAUGGGGCUUAGUAUUUUUUUAACAUUUUUAUUUUCUUUUCAAGAUAGCAUGAUUAACUAAUAAUCUAUUUAAGGAAAGUAAAUAAUUCAAGGGAAAAGGGAAUGUAGAAAGGAUAAAUAUGGAUAACUAUCGAUCUUACCUUUCGGCGAGGGUUCAAUGUUUUAAGUCUUCUUAACAAGACUUCUCACCGUGUUCAUUCUUCAGGUGCGUCAUUUGAUUCAGGUGCGGACCUUGACGUCUGCACCUCUUCGUUUGCCCAGCAGUUCAAAGUGCAGCGUUGGCAGUAACCUGCUCAGUGUGUUUGUGCUCGUAGAUCCAGGUCCUUCACUUGGUAGAGUCUGAGAGUUAUAAAACUCCUCCGUGUUUUGCUCAAAGUGUACCUGCUCAUAGAGACAAGGCAGAGAUCAAGUGCAUGGGUCCUGUUGGUGGAAAACACCAACAGAACCUAAAGUGUAUUUGUUCUUCUCUAACCCUAAGCAUAGUGAGCAAGACAAAGUUGAUGGAUGAAAAGUUCAUGAGUGUAGCACUUAUAACAUUUGUCAGAUCAGAUCGCUCAACCUUAUGGAAAGAUAAUCUAUCUAUGUAUAUGUCUUUUUCUUUAUAUCUCUCAAAGAUUGAAUGUGUAACAUUUUAGCUCAUAUGAUUAGGAGUGUGGGAUCAUGGAGGUAGUACUAAGAACAAGGAUUAAAGGACUAAACAUGUUGAAUCAGUUGGGUUGGUUAAUCUAGAGUUGUAAAUCAUACAUGUUUGUCUCUUUUAUUUAUAUGAAUGCUAGAACCAAGGAGAAGCUUAUAAAAGUGAUAGUCAAGUACCUUAAGAUAUUACCUUGCUUGAAGAGUGAUGGUACAAUAUCACCUUGUGGAAGCUUUCCUUUCUUAGCGGUUGUGCAUCGUGUUUGUGGCACCCUCCAUGGAUCAUAUCUCUAUGAUGAAUGAGCUAUGUCCUUCUUGUGCAAAUUGUUAAACUUCAUGUGUCACUCUCUUCGUCUCUGAUGUGAGUUUAUCUCAGGACUUCCCAAAUCGAUAUUGAAAGUUUUUCUGCAGGGGUUAGUCCGACAAAAAUAUACCAAUGUCUACACAAGCAGUUUUUAGUUCAAUAACCGAACUAGACUCCAUGUCUAAUCAGAUUAAGGAAGGCUGUUUAACCUAAGCACCAUGCUUAAUUUAAAAGCCAAUAGAAUUAUGUGCAGUACUUCCAAACUAACACUUACUAGUAAAUAGACAAAGGUAACAUGACAGCAUUUAUAGAGAUCUACUCAAGUGGAGAUGAAGUAGUGUGAUUAGUAUUUAACAAUUUGAGCAUGUCUUAAAUGUAGAGACAACCAACAUAGCAACAUGGCAAAGGAUGUUUUUAUGUAAAGUACUCCCCCAAGCUUGAAUUCUACAGAAUUCAAGUUUGGAUGAAUUUAAUUUAGUGUUGCAUGAUGAUUGGUUGGACAUACCUUGUACUUGCUUGUCAUUCAUCUGAUCUUCUUGUUCCAAUCCUGGAAAGGUUAGUGACAAGAAUACCCAAAGGAAUAUUUUCACAAUUAUCUUUAUAUGCUCAAUACACAAGGUAAUGUUGUAAAUGAUUAAAAGCUCAUGUUAUGAUCUGAUCAGUGCUUAUUUUAGGACACUAAGCUUGUUCUUGGGAAACCAUCAAUUUAUGUCAGCGAAGUGGUUUCCCUUCCAACGCUGACCUAUAUCAAGAUCAACUCAACGAGAUCUGCAAUAUUUAUUGUAGACAUAUGCAUCGACAACCGCCCUUUUAAAGUUUUUAUAAAUAGAAAGGAAGAGGGGGUUGGAGAUCUCAAAUGUGGGGAUGUUGGAGAGACCAAUAGAUUGGGAAGAUGUUGCAUAUGAGCAUGGAGUAAAUGAAGUGGCUAUGAAAUAAAUUCCAUGCUCAUUAAUGUUAUCUUCGUCUCCAAUCUGAAUGUUUGGAGUUUCUCCUGAAUUGGUCUCACCUAUGUCCUCUUCUGUAGUUAGAUGAAUCUCAUUUUCAAAGGGAGUCAAGAACUCACCAUUUGAAAUUAAGCCAAAGUCAGAAUCCAUUAAGGCUUCUUCCUUAUCCAUCCAUUCUACACAUUCUAGCCAUUUAGAACUUGUGAUCAAGACAGGGGAGGUGUUAGGAUUUUCUACAUGGCUUAGCUCUCCUUCUAUGACAUUACUUGACAUGUCAUCCUCAUGGUCUUUAUGACUCCUAUGGUUUGAUAGUCUUGAUGGAUUUUUAGGAUCAUCAUGAGACAUAAAAGGAGAGGGAUAAGAGGGGUCUCUAAGGUAAAGGAUGGAUUUAGAAUUUGUGAACAUGGAAGGGGAGCAGAUAGAAUUUUCUAUAUAGUUUAGCUCUCCUUCACUUGAUAUGUCAUCCUCAACUUCUUCAUAACAGGAACCAGGACAUUCUCUAAGAGAACCAUUAUUGCAGGGAUUUGAAUUAUCCCUACUUGAAGGUCUCUUAUGGAACCAGAAGUCUAAACCAUCAGCAUCUGAAAGAUUUAAGGUCGGAAUUCCUUCCUCCCUUGGAGAAUUUUGGGGUAUUGAUGGUUUAGGAUCGAUAGCUAAAGUUUGGAAUUGAAGUGGUUGUGAUCUGGCUAUCGAAACUUCUUCUUCUUGUCUAGGAACUGGUUCUGUCGCUUUCUCAGGGAUAUAAAAGCUAGGAGACUUCCCACUUAAUAAAUCAAUCAAAUUCCAAGCUUCACUAGCAGGUAGGUGAUAGAAGGAUCCUCUAGAGGCUGUAUUCAAGGUUUGCUUAUUUUCCCUACUAAGGCCCUCAAAAAAGUGAAUUAGAAGAACUUCUUCUGGAAUAGAAAGCUUUGAGCCAGUGAGAGUAAGGUUAAUAAAGCGGUCCCAUGAUUUCCUAAGAGAUUCUUCUUCCAGUUUUCUAAAAAAAUAAUCUCACGCCGAAGUUCCGCCACUUUGGAGAUUGGAAAAUAUUUAGAAAGAAAACUACUAUAUAACUCCUUCCAAUCUCUAUGAACACUCCCUACUUUGAGUUUGUACCAAUGUCUAGCUUUUCCCGUUAAAGAGAACGGAAAGAGCUUCCAUUUGAGGGUCUCAUCGGACAUUCCUUCUAUGCGAAGGAGGUCACAGACUCGAUAAAACUCUCUUAGGUGUGUGUAUGGGUUUUCCUCACCUUCUCCUGAGAAAGGUUGUUUUUGAACAAAUUCUAUGUAUUCGGGGUUUAUCUCAAAACUAGAUGCUAUGAUAGGCUUUGAAGAUUUUGGUGGUUCGAGAUGUGUGCCCGUAGGUCUAUGAAAUUCAUAGAUAGACAUGUUUGAAUUCAUGAUAGACCAGAGAUCAAGGAUUAGAUAUGAAGAAAGAUUAGCAGAGAUGAGGCAAAGGAUAAAAGGAAAAUAUAUUUUUUUAUUAUUUUUUAGAAAAUGAUUAAGCUAGUUCGUAGUCAACUCAACAACCGUUUCCCCGGCAACGGCACCAAAAAUGCUUGUUGACACUUGCUAACACCACUUGAAUACUAGGUUGUCAUCCCCAACAUGGCACUAGAGUGUACUAUGGUAUUUAUACGCACACAGAUAAUCCGCAAGCGCACGGAUACCGUUGAAGCUUUUACCCGGUUAAAGGUUUUAUCAUAUCCACAGGGAAACGGGAGAACCAACUACGCUCUAACUUAACCAGGAUAGAUAGAUAAGUGUAAACAGGAAAGAUGGUAGAAUCGAAUAAGAACAAUAUUAAAGGUAAGAUAACAGUGAGUGAUAAUAUGGGAAUAGAGAGUAGAGCAAUUCUAGUAUAUGGGCGAUGGUAGCAGAAUAGAGAGUAUAACUAUGGUUUCUCUACUUCAAAGGGGUAUGUCUAUGUCUAGGACGAACCACGUGAUAACAGUACACCACAAAGGAUGCUUAUCCUUAGGCCGAUAAACCCUACCCGUCCUGCUAACGAGAGGUGGACUACAGAGGACCAACGUAACUGUCACCUACGCGGCCUACCACACGAUCCAGCUAGACAGGGGAUAUCCACAAGUAAUCUAGGUCUAAGCACCACGCUUACACCUAUACUACAACUCUCACCUAUAGCGUCCUAUAGAUUAAAGUAUUCAAAAGAGUUGUGAACCAGAACAUACAUAAUUAGUAAUUGCAUAAUGAAUUAGAAGUAGAUUACCAUAGUCAUCCCAUGAGCAAGCUUGAUUAGAGCUUGAUCAUGACGAAGUACAACCGGAGGAAGAACCGACAGGCCGGCCUCUCCUCUAAUCCUCCUUCGCUCUCCAUCUUGCUACUAUCUAGAUCUACUCUAGUUUAGAGAAGAGAGGAGAGCUCUCAUCUCUAAACCCUAGCUUUUGCUCUGUCUAUGAAUAAUGAAUAAUGAUCAAGGGGUGCCUCCUCCAGGGGCCAGGGGGUCUGGUUAUAUAGUCCCCUCAAGUGAACCUGGGCCGUCGGAUCAAACCGACAUUGAUCGUGAGAUUUUCCUUGAAGUAUUAGGUCGGUGGAGCAUGAUCCGCGAAGUUGAAGCUGAUUGGUUACUGUAGCUGGGCGGGCACCCAAGGGACUUGGGCGGGCGCCCUGCCCCCGGGCCCGAUCGGCCUCCCGUUCGUUCCCGUGGCUUCUGGAGUCUUCUAGAUGGUAGAAAAUUGCGCGGCACGUUAAUAUCUCUAUGUAAACCCGACGUGUGGGCCUUUCUUUCAUAUUUCCUGAUAACCCCCUGCAGAAAUAGACAAACACCAAAACUCAUGGAAUUCUGUCAGAUAAAACCCUAAGUCUAGAUGUUGAUUUCAUUUGGAUCCUUUUCUUUGUUUAUUUGUUAAUUAAAUUUGAUACUUAAGGACCGUCAACAUGUCUAGCUUCACAACACUUUUUGUAUAAAAGUCUUAGGUUACAGGUACGUAACUUUUCAGGUAUUUAGCUCAAGUUAAUAAUCAUUACCUGUCAUCUAUAUUAGCACCUGUACUAGAGCAAUCACUUGAUUAAGAUACAACAGUAGUACUCAUAUUCGAUGUGGCAUUUCCAACAUCAUCAUCAUACCAUAACCAUCCAAGUGUUCCAUAAACAUUACUACGAUGAUGAAGCUCAAGUCAAGUGCUCACUGUCUAGGAGCGAUGGCGAUUCAAAUCAAUUUCUAACCAGCUGGUGAUUUUAUUCCCCACAAAACCACAUCGCUGAUCAAGUGAGCUACAGGUCACCAUAUUACACUAUCUAGGACUAAUUCGUGGGUUCGACAGGCACCGCCCGUACCCGAGGACCGUUCCGACGACCGAGGUAUCCAAGGUAUACCAAGGUUGCGCGCCGCGCCCUCGUUGUUCUCCUCAACCAUCACCAAUACAGCGCGUACAUCGGGCCGAUUCUCGGCUCGGAUAGUGUUCAGGCUUCACGGUCUGAACGACUUAUCAUUCCAGCUAAGUGUGGGGCAUGCGUUCAACAUGACAAGAGGGCCAUCAACGAUCGGUCCUUAAUCGACACAGGUGGGGAUAGGUAGGCACCCAAGACCUCCAUGCCUUGUUGCUUCUCCAUCAUCAUCCCGCCCGGUCUCCAAUUAUCUGUCCUCAUCACUUGGUUAUUUCCAUGAUAGCAUAUAUAGCCAACUUAUCUGUAUGUAAGAAUUGGAUAACCACUACUGAAGAAGGAUGAUAGUGGGGCUUAUAGGUCACCAACAGUUGCAAGUGUUCAACCACUAAAGAAAUAGUGUACCACCACGUAGGUUAAGCAUAAUCUUUCUUCAUGAUGCAGUUGCAUGAGAGUUAGGUUGACUUGUGUCAUAGCAAAACCAAUCCAGUGGAACUACUUUUGCUUUUGAGGUUUCCUUUUUAAGAUCAGUCGGUAGCUCUGAUAUUGGAAAUCUAUUGACUGACACCUUUCAAAACGUUUAUGGCUCGCACUAGCAUAAAUGGGUAUAAAGAAUCUUAUUUCAGCAUAUAAGCAUUAUCUAUACAGCAAAACACUGCACAUACUGUAAUCCAUGGCACCAAAACAAACACCACUUUCUAUACGAAGGAUGAUCGAUAUCAAAAGGGAGAUUGCAGAUUUCUACCCCUUUUUGGGUUUUGGUUCAUAUUUCACCAAUUAUCACUCACAUCCCCAUGGAAUUUGGUAGAAGUAUAGAUCCAUGAGUCUUCUAACCUCUAACAAAAAUUUAGCUCAAAUAGGCACCAUUUGUGUAAGCAGAACAUAUACAUACUAAACUUAUUCUGUGCUGAAACGGCACUGUUUCGGACUGACAAGACACCUCACAACUCCAAAGUUUAAUUCACUAUUUGAUGAAACAUAUCCUUCGUGGCUGUGAAUCCAUCAUUAUCUUGCUUAAGAUUAGCCUUGUUACUAGCAACCAUCAAUUGCCUUGCAGCACUAAAACUUCCAAAGCUCCACUCUUAACCACAACCAUUGCGGUUGACGCUUAACAAUUGGUCACCUUCAAAACCAGGAGAUAAGGAUUCAUGCUAAAGAUGGUUGACUUUAGCUGUAUGACCAUGAUGCACAUAAAGAUCGAGACUUAGGAAAACUAGAUCAUGAGCACAAUGGUGAUGAUCGAUGCUUGUCCAACAGAUAACUUGUCCAACAUUAUGUGCCAUGUGUCCUUUUGGUUUGGCGUGGAUGACCCAUGUUGCUCAUUAAACGAUCAUUGCUAUUGUAGGGAUAGUCAAAUAGUGUCACUUGUAUACCACCUCUUGCAGUCUGUUAAUGUUUAUGUCAGUGACCCGUUCUUUAAAGGUAAUCCUCUUUGUAACAUCAUAGGAAGUUCUCCCACUUGUGCGUGAAGUAAGAAUCUUUUGAUAUGAUCUAAAGAGAUAAUUGAGGACAAACUCAUGAUGAGAUGACACAUUGGUGUAGUUCUAUAAUGGAGCAUAGCUAGGAACAAUGAUACCAGCGCGUGCCGAGCAGCACAACCAUGUGUCGGCCGCCACAAGGGGCUCUUGGUUUCGUCACGGCACCAUCAAUCAUUAACCAAGACACCAUUAUCAAACAUACAACCCAAAAGAAAUCUCUCAUGGUAAAAAAUUGUGUUGCAUAGCAGCAAGCACUAUGCAGAAGAGGGGUAUCAAACUGAGAUAGUCAUGAGAUUAGAGGUCCACAAGGAGGUGAUUUAAAGAUCAAACAUAGUACUAGAGAACAUAUAUCACAUGAGAUUAAGACGGAUAAACAUCAAGAGACUCAACAGAGUUGGAGAUAAAACGAUUGAGAUUUAAAAGAUGAAGUCAAUACACUGAUUAGGGGUUCCAUUGCUACAACAAUGACAUGAUCUACAAGGAAAAGAUUUUUAUAGAUCCAUGCAACAACCGAUUAGUGUAGCACUAGAUCGAUCAAGAUGACAAGGAGAAGAGAGUCUGAUAGGACUUCUUAGGGUCGGAUCUUGAUACAUAGGAGUAAGACACCCACGACAUACGCAAGCAUGUAGGAGAGAUAAGCUUGGGAUCAUGAAUCAAAUUAGGGAAUGGAUACACAACAUUCAAGAUCUAACAACCAUGCACAAACUCAAGCUCUUUAUCAUUGGAAUCUACUUGGAUAUAACCAUGAGAUUAAAGUGACAUGAGUGCUGUUCAAAGGCUCUUCAACACUUGCAUGCUUACUAAGGACAAAAAGGUAAAACUAUGACACUACCUAGUUAACAACACAUCCACUCAUGCAUCAUGGUUUUAAGCAAACAUGUGAGAACAUGAAUCACACUAUCUCCAACAAUCAUUACUAAGCACAAAAAUUGUAGAUAUCAAGCAAUCAUCUAAUGCAACACUAGUACACAUGAACAUACAAAACAUGAUGGUAAAGUGUUUUUUCUUUUACUUUCUUUUACUAGAAAGGUGUAUGUUUCUUCUCCAGUAGUGAAAACAAAUUUUAACUUAUGUUUAAAAGACUAGUCAUCUUAUAGAUGUGCAUCAUACUGACAGGGUGCAUAGAUCGACCACAACAUGGGCAAAACAAAGCUAAUUACACCCUAUCUUCAAUUAUAGCUAUUCAAGCAACAUGGAGCAAAACAUUUCAUCUAACUUCACACAAGCUGGAUAACAGCACAUUCAUUCACAAGUUACUUGUUGUUAGAACAAAGGUGAGGGAAGCAUAGUUAUACAUAAGACAACAAUCAUAAUGAUGCAUGCUUCGUCCUAUUCGUCCUCACAAAAUUGCGAGGUGGCAAUCACGUUCUAUGUCGGUGGCAUAACACGUACACUCUCGCCAUAUAGCUAGUCGUAAUAUUCAAUUUACGCAUUCGUGGUUAGUGUACCUGCAGAAAAUUCAUUUCAGCCCUCACACAGUAUGAAACAUGCAGUACAAGAUUUAAAAGUUAUGCGCUCCACACACGUGUAUCCCCAUACUCGUAUGUGUAGUGCUACUACCCACAUCAUCGUCCUAGCGACAGCAUCGCCUCUAAGGACGAAAUCACCCAUCAUGUGGUACCUUUUCAUAGGCACAUGUAAAAUGUGCACAAGAUCCAGUACCAAAAGCACUUCCCUAGAUCGGUGGUGUAUCCGAUCAUGCUCUCACAGCUCACACUUACCGAGGCGUAGAGGAAAAAUGAUCCAUAAAUUACCAUUCAAAUAAAUGGCACUCAUACUAUUGCACGCAAUAUGAGCAACAAAAUAGAAAUAUUAUGCAAAAACCACGAAGUCAGUACUUAAAUAAACCACCUAAAGGUCCUUAUUUGGGCAUAAAGGAAAUGACCACUGGCAUACUUAGGUAAAACUUUUUCAGAUUUGAACACACCUAUACAUAGAACAGCUAUAAGUUGUCAAAAACUGGUUUUGAAAAACUAACCUUUUUGUUUUAAAUACACAUAUGACAAGUUUAAUGUUGAACCUUGCUUUGAUACUAGCUGUAACAGAACCGCCCAAUUUAUAAGAGAUCAACUAUUAAAAACUCCCGCCAAAGCAGUUGCUUUAACAUAAUCGAACUCUCAUAAACCCGGUAGUCCGUGAAAUCACGAGGGAUUUCAAACCAAUCAUCAUACAAGCCAAGAUCAUAGUGAUUCAACAUAACAAGUCACAUGUUACAUCCAUUUCACAAGUAGUUUGAUAUACAUCAGAGUUCAAUAUAGUUAUUACAACUUAAGUUGAAAUGUAGCGGAAGCAAAGUAAUUUAAAACUAAUAUUGCCCUCAUUUCAAAUACAUGCCAGUAUCCAGGUCAACUCCAACAAAACCAACAUAGAUGAGGUAACUAAGAAGGAUCAUGCCCAUGAUAUUACUCCUCUAUUAUUGUAGGAGUCAUCCAAAUCUUGCAGUAGCCAUGAUACAUCACAACCUGCAACAAGUGGGAAUAAACCCUGAGUACGAGAUGGUACUCAGCUAGACUUACCCGUCAUAAACCAGAAAUAAUAUGACACCAAGGAGUAUGCAAGUUUAUUGGUGGGGCUAGCUUCACAACACUUUUUGCAUAAAAAGCUUAGGUUACAGGUAAGUAACUUUUCAGGUAUUUAGCUCAAGCUAAUAAUCAUUACCUGUCAUCUAUAUUAGCACAUGUACUAGAGCAAUCACUUUUUUAAGAUACAAUAGUAGUACCCAUGAUCGAUGUGGCAUUUCCAACAUCAUCAUCAUACCAUAACCAUCCAAGUGUUCCAUAAACAUUACUACGAUGACGAAGAUCAAGUCAAGUGCUCACUGUCUAGGAGCGAUGGCGAUUCAAAUCGAUUUCUAACCAGCUGGUGAUUUUAUUCCCCACAAAACCACACUCACUGAUCAAGUGAGCUACAGGUCACCAUAUUACACUAUCUAGGACUAAUUCGUGGGUUCGACAGGCACCGCCCGUACCCGAGGACCGUUCCGACGACCGAGGUAUCCAAGGUAUACCAAGGUUGCGCGCCGCGCCCUCGUUGUUCUCCUCAACCAUCACCAAUACAGCGCGUACAUCGGGCCGAUUCCCGGCACAGAUAGUGUUCAGGCUUCGUGGUCGGAACGACUUAUCCUUCCAGCUAAGUGUGGGGCAUGCAUUCAAUAUGAUAAGAGGGCCAUCAACAAUCGGUCCUUAAUCGAAACAGGCGGGGAUAGGUAGGCAAACAAGACCUCCAUGCCUUGUUGCUUCUCUAUCAUCGUCCCGCCCGGUCUCCAAUUAUCCAUCCUCAUCACUUGGUUAUUUCCAUGAUAGCAUAUAUAUCCAACUUAUCUAGGUAUUCACCUAUUUGGCUCAGGUGACUGGACAUCACCUAGCUUCUACCGGUUUAAGCAUGGCUAAGCAUUUAGAUUCGAUCUUGAAUCUACAUAGGGUUAUAGGUAUAUUUGCUGGAAAAGGAGUGAUAUAUGCAGCAAGGGUUUCACCCAACUCCUAUACGCAACAAUACAUAUAUAACAUAUAUUCUCAAUUGCAUUCAAAAGUAGUAGGAGACUUAUAGUGCUCCAGGGCUUGCCUGGAUCAACACGGAGUCAGUUCAAUUAGUUGCUCCAUCUUGGUGACAUCUUAGGUCACAACACUUGUUUAGUCCUUCCACCUUCACGAUGGGUCCACCCAACACCGUCUUCGGGUUUGUUCCCACACCAACACAUUCACGUGAUUCAUCUAGAACACCUAGAUGAGAUGCAAGAUGCAAGUGCAUGAAUAUGUAGAAUAGCAACACAAGAUGCAUCACAUAAGAGUAUGCAAGACACAGACAUCUAAGUUAUUUAACUAACAUUACAUAACCAACUAUAGAGAGCAAGCAUAUAAAGCAUGACAUAUGUUUAACAAGGUUACAAGUGUAUUACUUAAUCACCAUUAAAGAAAUGAAUCAUACUUAGAUCACACAAAAUAAAGCAAUCAAGCAUUCAUGUAUUUCAGCAAUUCUGGACAUACAUGCAACAACUCAGUAAAUAAAUCAUAACUGGAGUUACACAACUCCAAAAACUAUGCAAUAGGACAUUCUGGAAAUAUUAUAGAAUUAUCUACAAUUCGUCUUUAAUCAUAUUAGCAUGAUUAACAAGUUAACCAGGUCAAACAUGCAUGACCAUAUAAUCUGGUCUAGGAAUUUCCAGAGAACAAGCGUUUCAAAGGAUGAACUUUAUACAAUUGUAACACACAAACCACUUAGCCAAAUCACAUGAAACAUUACAACAAGAUAUAUUAGUAAGUUAUCUACAUCUUUUCUAUAUACAAGUUUCACAGAAAACUUCAUUUAUAUCAUGGAAUUAACUGCAUAAAUAAAACUGCUCAUGCUGCCCAAACAGUAGAGGUACAAUUACAAACAGAAAACUAAUAGACAAUUCAAAGCAGCAUAACUGGAGUUGUAGACCUCCAGAAAACAUGAUUCUUAUCUUUUUGGAAAUAUUAUAAAGUUACCUACAACUUUCUUAUUAUCAUCUAAAUAUGAAUCCACAAUUAACAAGGUCAUUUAAUUCCAUGAAUACAUCUCUGUCCAAAACAUAGACAGAAUCUGACAUGCCACAUUACACAGCUAUAACUUGAGUUUCACAUGUCCAUAAAUUAUGGUUAUAUACUUUCUAGCGAUAUUACUAAAUUUUUAACAACUUUGUUAUAAACAUGUACAGCUAAAUCUACAACUAAAAGGUCUUACAUUACAAACAACGCAACCCUGUCUGGGUUUACACAGAAACUGGAAUAGUAAUUUAAACCACUAUAAAUAAACAUAUGCUUAACCAAGAAUUAUGGUAUUUAGAUUUCUAGAAAGCUUAUGAAAAGUAAUACAACUCACAUAUUUUCACCCAGGCAUGAUUCACAACUUAACUGUGUCAAACAAUGCAAACAUGCCGAUCCACUCAGAAUAAGAGCAAAAAAACACAGGGCAUUUGUUAUUUUCAGAACUCUUAAUAUAUCAUUCCUAAAUUCAUGAAACUUUUACCAGACAUCAAAUCUCAUAUGAAAAGGAUGUCACAAUAGUUUCAAAAUUAUUGGACCAAUACUACAGCAGUUAUGAAAAAGACAAAUAUAGCAAGCAAUUAAAACCUAACUGCAUAAAUCUAUUUUUACGGCUAAAACUUCAAACUAAACCAUGCAAUAUUAUAGAUCUACUGGAUAGAAAAUUUCAUGAGGAUUCCAAAAAGUUUACAUUUGCUAUUUUACGACUUUUCUAGCAUUUUCUAUGAACUAACAAAGUUCAACCAAAAAUCAGAAAAAACAAAAGAAAAGGAAAACAGAUAUUGCAUCUGGGACCCUGAGCUUUCUCAAAAAUCAACCCGCAGCCCAUAAGUACUAUUCAUAUGAGUCUAUGGUUCGCAUUUGAAACCCUAAGGUUUACUCUAUUUCAACCCAACGUCCUUCGUCUUCGUGUGUCACAAACAGAACGAAGCAGACUGGCAAGAAGGAAGCAGACCGGCCCUUGCACGUGCUGGAGAUGGUGUGCAGGGGCAGCGGGGAGGGGAUGGCCGGCCUGGCCGUGGCGAGCUGCAGCCCGCUCCUGGCACUGGAGAGGGAGCAGCGAGCUCUGCUAGGAUGGCGGCCAUGGCGACGGAUGGGAGAGAGUUGGAGAGGGAAGAAGGCGAGUGGAGGAUGGGAGGCAAUGCAGAGCGUGCUGGUGUGUGUGAGGAGCACUCUCUGGCCUGUCCUCAACGAAACAGAUAGCAGCAAGGGCGAGGUGGAGAUGUCACCCAUGGUGGGACAAGCUCUGCUGCAUGGUGACCACGUAGCCAUUUCAUCGAGCACGUGGCGGACAACAAAGUAGCCAAGGUGGGACGCCGAUUCGAGCCAUUCUAGGCUGAACUGGACCUUGGAUCAAAAACAAAGUUUGCUUAUCUCGCCGUGCUCUACAACUUUCAUUAAGAGUGUUCGGCCAUUAGAUCAACACAUUAAGAGAUAAUUAAAUGCCAAGUCACGAGUGUCAACGUAUUGACGGUGAUUAGCAAAACCAAGAAUUGAUGGUCCAAACCAUGUCAAACUUGAUGCAACUUUUUGCAUGAUCUUCUCCAAACAAUUCUCCCCAACUUUUGUUUUUGGACCAACUUGAGUUACUUAACAAAAACAAGAGAAUGCGGCAUGUCAACGAGUUCACGUCCGUUUAGCGAUAAAAUAAUCUUUUGCUGUUUUGGGAGCUAUUGUUGAACAUCCAAAUGAACUCCAAAUUUGAUGAUACUUGAUCCAUUGUUUCCACAAAAAAGGGUACUCCAAAUCAUAUUAAGGAAUUCAAUUGAGUUACCAUAUGAAUUUGGAUGCUAAAAUGUCACAAAGAUGGUAACUCACUGCGGUACUUCUAGGGACUUAGAAUUAUUUCUCAGGGCUAAAAAGCAGCAGCUGAUUCGAACUUUGAGCCUCUGUUUGAACUAUUUGCAAGCUGAUUUCGUUCAUGGCCCUUGGACAAGAUUUGCUUUACAGAAGCUAAGGUCAAUCCUCAUAACUACAAUAGAAGUCAAACUUUCACUUAGGUCAAAGCAGUAACCUGAUAAAGCUCGAAAUAGGGUUUUAGGCCAAUUGAAGCAUUUCCAUUGCAUAAGCUCAACAUGAACCCUUCAUGACUUUUGUUGUAGAAUUCAUCUAGAGUCAUAUGAGCAAGUUUGGAAGGUUUGGUUGAUGACCCGUGAUUCUAUUUCCUUAAUAAAGCCAUUUCAACAAGGAUAUAACUUAUCAUUUCAUGUGACUUCUUGAUUCCAAACUUCACCAAACUUUUCCAGGGACCAACAUAGAUUGGGAUGGAUAUGAGACACAUGAAAACGGUUCCACUAGCAUUAUCUAAGCAUACCUUUUAACAAGGGCCUAUAUGUAAGUAAAGGUGCAUCGUCCAAGUCCAAGUUAGAGCUUACUUUCAUAGACUAACUUUGACCUCUUUAUUACCAUUGAACUUGUCAUGUUUGUGCUCAAACAUAGUACUUAGCAAUUGACAAACACCUGGGGUGUUACACUCCUUCCACCAACAAGUAUGUCUUGAUGGGACAGGGCGAGCUUCUUCAUACUCUGGUUCCGUUAAGCCAUAGAUACCCCGAGUCAAGCAUGGUCUUCCAGAGUUGCUGCGAGCAAUCUUUUCGUUACGAACCAUCUAUGGAAUUAGACCAAGAGGUAGUUAGAAUAGAAGCAAUAAUUUUAUAAUAGAAUUAGAUGGUAGAAGCAUAUGAAUUUUAUCAAAUAUCAAGGGCGAGGUAGUAAGCAUGAAUGUAGUGAAGCAAAGAUGACUAAAACAACCAUUACUAUCUAGGUUUGCGUCCUACAGUCAGCAUUACUUUGAUACCACUUUGUAGCACCCAAUUUUAAGAACAAAACCAGAUACACACCAUAUGUGAGCCCAGGAAGUCAAAUCUCACUUAUAGCCACAAAAUACAACGAACUUAAUUUUAAAAGAUAUAACCUUAGAUAGCAAACAGCGGAAGUGCACUCCGUUCUUCAGGUGAAAGCUACAAAUCUACAGGGACAACUGACUGGUUGAGCACAAGCCUAAACUCUUCUCCAAACUUGCAAUCUGGUACCCAUCCGGGAUUUUGAUCCAAAUAAAAUGUAAAGUGUGACAGAACCACCCAAUUUAUACAAGUUCAAGUACGACUGUCCCCGUUUAACACGUUGACACGCGCAUACUCUCACUUAUAUAAACCCGGUAGUCUAUCGAGUGUCACGAAGGACCUCGGUAAAUCAACUUUACACCAAGAUCGCAUGAUUAAGCAAAUACACAUCACAUACAUGGAGAUUUGCAGUGGAAAUAAUAUUACAAAAGAGUUCACAAAUAAUAGUACAAGUUUGGAUUUUCCAAAUUGAUUAGAAGACAACAUAGCUUUCAAAUGAUUACAAUAACAUAAGUUCCAAAUACAUUGCUAGCAUAAGUGACAUCCUCUGACAAAAGCAUGUAGAUGAGAACACUAUAUAGAAUCACCGAGCCCACCGGCGGUUAGCCACCACCUUUAGCAGACUGAAAACUUCACCUGCAACAGGUGGGAUAAACCCUGAGUACUUGAAUGUACUCAGCUAGACUUACCCGACAGGAGAGAAAAUAAAAGACUCUCAAGGAUAUACAAGGCUAUUUGGUGGAGUUGGUUGGAUAGCAUAUCUUUGCCAAAAAGAGCAUUACUAUCAUGAGUCCUUACUUUCAACCUUUUAGUCAACAUUUUAGCAUCAAGUUCAGUUAAGCUACCACAGCUAGAUUUUGCACCUAUUCUAUAGCAACCACUUGAUUAAUAAGCAUCACAUUAAUAACCAUAUCUGGUUUAUCAUGUAGCCAUCAUCAUCAUCAUAACCAUUAAGUUUAUUUAGUGAAUUCUACGUUGCCGCUGCUCAAGUCAAGUUCUCACUAUCCGGGAGAGACGGCGAUUCGAAUCGAUUCCUAUCCAGCUGGAGGGGUAUUCCUAGCACUCACCCAAGCAUACCUCGCGAGGGCAGCUCGGAUCACCUUUAGCACAACUCCGGACCAAUUCGCGGGUCCGUCCAGCGCCGCACCCCAGGGACCGCCAAUCUGCCAAGGCAGGACUCUAACCUGACACCUUGGGCUUACGCCAUUGACUCCCCGCACAUCCUUGCUACCAACCGGGGUGCGCACUCAUACAGAACGGGGUAUCCGGCCUGAGUUGCACUCGUAGGCUUCGCGGUCGGAACGACUUAUCCGGCCAACUAAGUGUUAGGCAUACGUUCAACAUGACACGAGGACGUACAGCGAUUCGGUCCUUAACCGACACAGACGGGGAUAGAUUCACACCCAAGACCUCCAUGCCUUGUUGUUGCACUAUCGUCAUCCCGCCCGGUCUCAAGUUCAUUAUUAGCACAAGGUUAUUUCCACGAUAGCAAAUAUAACCAACCGUGAUCAGGUAUCCACCUAUCUCUCGCAGGUGACAGGAAAUCACCUGGCUUCUACCGAGCUAAGCAUAGCUAAGCAUAGAACGUCUUCCUUAUACUAGUAAGGGUUCAGGUAGUUUCAUAUAGUGGACAAGGUAGGAAUAUAUGCACCAACGGUUUCAUUCAACUCCUAUCACCUAAUGCAUCAUAUAAAGUUAUACUCUUGUGCUUUUAUAAAAAGAGAGGGUAGGAGACUUAGAAUGCUCCGGGGCUUGCCUGGAAUCUGACACAAGUCAGUUAAGUUAGCUUGCGCCAUUUUGACGAUAUCCAAGUUCACAACACUUGUAUAGUCCUUUCAUCAUCCUGAUAGGUCCACCAUCAAGUCCUUCACGUGGUUCAUCUAGUGUACCUAAAUGAGAUGCGAGAUGCAAGUGUAUGAACACAUAGAAGUGCAAUAGACAAUGCAUGAUAUACAGCAAGGAGACAAUAUUAUGUUACUCUACACAUACAUAUGUGUUUCAUGCUGCUUAAGUAACAUAACACAAUCAACAUACUAAGAUAGAAAAGAAUGCAACCAAGUAUAUCAGGCAUGGCAUACAUGUUUCACAAGAUUUCAGGUGUAAUAACAUGGCCAUUAUCAAAGACAUGAGUCACACCUAGCAAUAUACCAAGCAACAGCAAUACAAGGGAUCUGUUAUUUUUAGGACUGUUAACAGCAGCUGAGAAAAUAAAUCAUAACUGGAGUUUCACAACUCCAAAAGACAUGAAUUAAGACAUUAUGGAAAGCUUAAGAAAGUAUCUACAUUUGAUAUUUAGACAUCAAAGCAUGAUUCUCAACUUAAGCUGGUCGAAAUUAUAAAGUUCCAGAAUCUGUCCCUGACAAACAGAGAGCAGCCAUUUCUGGAAUCCAACUUUGAACAGACAUAACUCACAAACCACAAGACCAAAUGCCACCAAAUUUUAACAGCAGCUAGAUAAAUAAAUUAUCUACAACUUUGAUAAUAACAAGAUUCCUAGAAAACAGAAUUUACAUAUUGUAAUCCAAACAGUUCCAGAAACUGUCCAGAAACAACAAUUGCAAACAAUUAAUUAUUAACUUAUGUUUCAAACAUGCAUUUGAGCAAAACCAUUGUUACCAACAGCUUGAACAUAACCAAAGAACACCAGAAAACAUAGUGGUUAUUACCAAAUAAAUUUAUUUAAUGCCUUUCUUAAUUUAUUUGGAUAAUAAGGUGAAUUAAAGAAUAUAUAACAAAAGUGCUCAAUAAAUUCCACCAAAAUUACAGUGGCUUCUAAAUACUAUCCAUAGUCCACUGUAUAAAUUUCACUGCAUUUUAAUAAAGAUAACAACAUCUAUGAAAAAGACAAAUUGCUAUUGCAAUUAACCAUGUGAGAGCAAGAUAAAUGCACAAAUCAUAUUUUCUUCAAACACAUGGCCACAUCAUACGUAAACAUGAUACAAAAAUAUCCUAUAAUUGUACUGGAACAACAUUUUCCAUUUUUAUAUUUUUAUUCACAAUUAUAAACCAUUUAUUUAAUCCCCAUGAGGACAUCUCUGUUCAAACAUAGACAGAAUCUAUCAUGCCACAUUAAACAGCCAUAACUUGAGUUUUAUAUGCCCAUAAAUUAUGGUUAUGUACUUUCUAGAAAGCUUACUAAAUUGUGAACAACUUUGUUAUAAACAUAUAGAGCUAAAUCUGCAACUAACAAGGUCUUACAUAACAAACAAUGCAUCCCUGUCUGGGUUUAGACAGAAACUGAAACAGUACUUUCAACCACUAUAACUAAACAUAUGCUUAACCAAAAAUUAUGCUAUUUAGCUUGAUGGAAAGCUCAUGAAAACUUCUACAACUCAUAUAUUUUCACCCAGGCAUGAUUCACAACCUAACUGAGCCAAACAAUAUAAACAUGCAGAUCCACUCAGAAUAGGAGCAAAGCAACACAGAGCAAUUGUUAUUUUUAUAACUCUUAAUCUGUCAUUCGUAAAUUUAUGAAACUUUCACCAGACAUCAAAUAUCAUAUGAGCAGCUUGUCAUAAUAUUUUUACAUUUAUUUGAGCAAUAAUACAGUGGUUAUGAAAAAGACAAAUAUGACAAGCAAUUAAAAUCGAACUGCACAAAUCUAUUUUUACUGCUAAAACUGCAAACUAAACCAUGUCAUAUUAUAGAUCUACUGCAUAGAGCAUUUCACAAGGAUUCCAAAAAGUCCACCUUUGCUAUUUUAUAACUUUUCUAUGAAUUACUAUGGAUUUCCAAAGUUCAUCCAUGAAAUCUGCAAAAACAAAAUAAAAGGAAAACAUAGAUCUUGCACCGGGGACCCUGGAUUUGCCAUGAAUCACGCUAUAACCCAGAAAUACUAUUCAUAUAUGUAUUGGCUUUGGCUUCGCAUCUGGAACCCUGAGUUGUUUUUUAUUCUAACCCGAGAUCCUUCUCCUUCCAUCAGACUAACGAACAGAGAGACCCAGAGACGGAGCAGGCCGGCCAUGGGCACUUGCAACCAUGGAGGAAGAGUGUCGGAGCCUGGGAACUGCAGGCCACGACGCCGGGUACUAGCUUAGCCCAGGCUGCAGGCAGCAGUGGCGCAGCAGCAGCUCGAGCUCCUCGUCCGUCCAUGGCGGUGGACUGCCAUGGGGAGCAGAGAGCAAGGAGAGAGGCAAGGGGGCGUGUGAGGCGAGUGAAGGAGGUUAGGGACGCUCUGGUGCUUCUCCACACUGGCACAGACGGGGAAAAGCAAGGUGGUGGUGGCAGCAAUGGUGGUGUGGGCGCUGUGCAUGGUCGCCACGCGCCAGCAACGUGUCCACCCGUUGAGGCGUUUCCUCGAGCACGUGGCGUGCAGCGAAGUGGCCGGCAUGGGAGGCGAUUUCAGGCCUUUUCCAGGCUGAAUUGGACAUUGGGCCAAAAAUGAAGAUUGUCAAGCUCAGUCUGCUCUACAUUUGUUGUUUAAGAGUCACGGCCAUUAGGGUUGUAGUUUAGUAGAUAAUUGGAUGCCAAUCAAUGAGUGUCAAUGAAUUGAUAGUGAUUAGCAAAACUCAAAAUUGAUGACCAAAACGAAGUCAAAAUGGUGUCAUCCUUUGGCAUGCUCUUGUCAACAAUAUGCACUCCAACUUUUAUUUUGGGACCCAAGCAAGUUGUUUAGUAAAAUUUGGAGAACGCGGAAUGCCAACGUGAUGAACUGCAAACCUAGACUUAGAAACUCUAAGUGCUGGAAAUUAUAGCAGAUUCAAUAUUGUGACUAUUAUUUGACAUGCUUAGAAGAUGAUUCAUACUUAGUAACUUUAACAAAGAUUGUAGUAUGAAAACUAUACUACAACUUUUACAAAAGGAUCUUGUACUGGUUCAGUCUUAUUUGGAAGAUACAAGGCUCCAAACUAGGGUACCCGAAACUGAGCACCUCAGGACAGCCAAAAUUCUGGAGUUCCAAAACAGCACUGCAUUGAAUCUUGUAAACUUAAUUUGACUAGGUUAGAGACAAAAAUAGCUCUUGAUCAUUAAACAAAGUUUGUUCUACCAAAUCUAAACUACAACUUUCAUUUAAGGUCAAACCUCAGAACUAGUACAGAAGUCAAACUUUCACUUUGGUCAAUGCAGCAACUUGAUAAAGCUCAAACUAAGGUUUUAGGCUGAUUGAAGCAUUUUCUAGGCACAAGCUCAACAUGUACCCUUCAUGACUUUUGUUGUAGAGUUCACCUAGAGUCAUUUAGGCAAGGUUGCAAGGAUUGGUUGAUGACCUAUGGUUCUAUUCACUUAAUGAGGUCAUUCCAACAAGCAUGUAACUUAUCAUUUCAUGUGACCUUUUGAUUCCAAACUUCUUGAAACUUUUUGAGUGAUCACUAUAGGCAGUGAUGGAGGUGGGACACAUGAGAGAUGUUCCAUUAAUGUCACCCAAGCAUGCACUUUGAAAAGGGCCUAUAUGUAAGCAAGGGUGUGUUCUCCAAGUUUAACUUGAGGCUCACUUUCAUGGAUUGACUUUAACAUGAUCAUCACCACUUAUCAUGACAUGUUUGAACUCAAAACCUAAGGUCUAACUCGUAGCAAACACCUAGGGUGUUACAUAAAGGCAAGUGUAAGUACAUCUCAUACUCAGCAAGAAUAACAUAGGGUUCAUGAGGCUCAAAGGCUAGACACUGGUUUAACUGCAUGUAGCUUUUUGUUCAUGAGGCUCAAAGGUUCGUCUAACAAGUUAGGGCCGCUUGGUUUCGUUAGUCAGUCCAUGUGAUUCUACCGCGCAGGGAAUCCAUGGUCUGCUAUCCCCCAUUUGAGCCACACAGUUAACCUCUAACAAGCUACAAAAGGUCCUCAUACUGAGCUAAAGCCAGAGCCAUGUAGCCCUCACAGUUGUACUGUAUGUCCCGGAUGGUCAUAUACAGAUAAGUCCUUAUGGAGAGAAACUAGAGCACCAUAAGAUAGCUCAACGCUCUAGCCCCCUUUACCAAAGUUGCUAAAAGUCCUCUUUUAAUGUUUAUUGCAUAUUCCAUUAAUCAAAUUACAAGAUCAUAGUUUAGUGGAGCACUAGCAUAGGCUACCAAUGCAAAACCAUAGGUGACAAGGUAUAAGAUCAAUACUAGGAAAUCCUUAGCAAGGAGACACAUGCAAUAUGAAUUGUGUGAUGAAAGUUAUUAGGAAAACAAGGAUGAUCCCAUGCUAUACUUGCCUUGAAACUCAGAUCCUUCUUUUACUUCCAAAACUUCUACUAUCAGCUUCUGGAUCACCACGUAAAAGCUCACCGUCUAAACUCAGUCAUCACAUCAACAACAAUCAUCCAUAGGUAAUCAUACAAAGCAAACAAAUAUAUAAUUAGAACAAUACACCAACAGUAGAAAAUAAACAUGAAAAAUUUAUAAAAUGAAUCUACGUUGCACUACGAUCACACAGACGUAAAGAUCAUAAAAUUGGAGCUAUAACGAAGAAGAUAUGAAUUUUCUAAGGUUUUCUUUAGAAAAAAAUAAUUAAUUAAAUAGGGUCACGAAAUUAAAAAGUUUCAAACUAGUAAAACAGUGAGACUAACAUAAAGAUCUCGUGAUUACGAAACUAAUGCAAUUUGAAUGGGUCAAAUCGAAGUUAAAACGAAUAUUUUAUGAGCAAUAUAAAACCAGUGGCAAACUUGUAAUUUUCUGAAAACAUAUUUUGAAACUGAGUACUGAGUUUACGUCUUCAAAAUCGGAAUGCGUAUUUUCGAAAGUGUGUUUUGGACUGCGGGUUCGAUAACUAAAUAACUCAGGGGUUCUUUUGAAAAGUUAUGGCCGAAGGGGUAUCCUUCAUCUCGGGCCGUUGGAUCGCGCUUGAACGGUUGCGAUUAGAUCGGGGUGGGAAGAGAGAGGUGGCCGGCCAGAGUUGGAGGGGGUCACGGCGGCGCCAUGGCCAGAGAUGGCCGGUGUUGGCCAAUCAGGUGAUUUAGAGCACUAGAAAAUGAACCGAUAGCACUGGGACGUAGCGAAACUCGAGGCAAACUCACCUAGGGCAAAAUCAAAGCCAUGGAGCGGCCGGUGAGUGCUUGCAACGGAGUAUGGUGGACGACGGCUUCUGCAAAAGAUCGACGAGGUCAAACGGAGUGUAGAGAGGACGAAAUCGCGAGAAAGAAGGCUUGGCGUAGUCGCAAGGACGAUAGGAAGCUCGGUUGAGAACUCACGGAGGCAGAGAUGCAACGAAACGGGACUUCAACCUCGGUGGUGAACUUGUUCUUUUCGGCAGCGGCUGCAGCUCGGCUAGGGCUAGGGUGUGUGCCAAGGUUGGGGUUGGGGAGUUCGGCGAGGCCAUGGCUUCUAUUUAAGAGGGCUCCCAGCCGUGCGCUACACACAGAGCGUGAGGAAUUCAGGGCGGAUUUCCUCGGACAGAGUCCGGUCUCCCCACGGCCAGAGGUAGGGGACGCGGCUAACCAUAGGGUCCCACCUGGCGGUGACUUAAGGUCGUGGGGCCCGCUCGUCAAUGGAAAGAAGAGAGGGAAGGGGUGCUAGGGGCUGACUGGGCCAUAGCUCACUGCGCGCGCUGGGCCGAGGGGAAAGAUUGGGAGUGGGCCGCGGUUGCCGCUUGGGCCAGAGAGAAGGGCGCUCGGGCCGAAAACCAGAGAGAGGUGAGGAUUUCCCUUUUUAUUUUCUGUUUCCCUUUUCUUUUCAAAACAUUUUCAAAACCAAAUUUGAAUUCCUUUUAAACUUUAGUCAAAACCACUCAUCACAAUAAAUCAAAUGCAAAGACAUGCAUGCUCAAACAAGUUGUUAACUCCUAUGGUAAAUUUUAAUUUAAAGAAAAAUAUUAUUUUUUCCAAUAAUUCAUGGGCACAAAAAUAGACAAUUAAAGCAAUUUCUCCUAUUUUGGAAACUUGCAAAUUUUGGGGUGUUACACAUUAGCUCAAGGACACGAUGACUAGCAACUACAGUCCCAAUGCCGUAAUCCCUAUGGAUACUAGGAGUAGAAACUAAGAUUUACACAUGUAAAACCCACCUCCCCUUGAGGCUAUAAAAUGGGAGGUAGGGCACUGUCUAGAGGCAGAUCGAACAAGUCUAACACAACCAACCCACAAAUCACAACACUCCGUAUAACACACUCGAGCACUCUGCCAUCCACAAAGUCGAGGCCUGGGACUACUUCCCUCUCUCGCAACUAGCUUGUACCCCCUACUACAAGUACUUUAGGUGCAAGAUAAUACAGGAUCCGACCACCCCAUUGGACGUAGGAUAGUGUUGGCCCGAACUAGUAUAAAUCCCUUGUGUUCUUCUUGAAUCACCAUCUAGGUAAUACAGGAUCCGACCACCACUUGUUACUCGUGAGUGCCACCCACAAAGUAAUAGAUGACUUGAUCACCAAAUGUCUCGACGUGGUGUCUAGGUGUUUUGCUUAUCUGCGAGUAUCCCCAAUCGUGUCGGGUAGUGAGAUAGAUCGUGGGUGUUAUAGACCCAUUGAGUCCUUUGUAGGCCUUCCCCCGUACGGUGGAUAGGUAGUGGGAUUGUCAGGUUUAGAGGAGGUUCAUGUACUCAUUUUUAUGUGUACAUUCCUCCGAUGUGUUAGGGAACUAUAGUAGUAUAACUUAGCCAUGAUUGUUAGACAUACUUGCACUAAAUGGAGUAGCUUUGACUGUAUCUUAAAUACUUAGGAGUUAUUUCUUUAUUACCUGAUUAGACAAACGCUGACAUGAUUAGAGUGCUAUGAUGGGAUUAGUAUUAUUAGGAGAUGAUUGAUCAUUUUUAUCAUUUUUUUAUAUUGAUCAUAUUUAUCAUAUUUAUCAUUUAUCUAUUAUUUAUCUUGCGACACCUUCCUGUUAUUGAGGAGAGAGUUAACAUUGGCUACAUCUCUUAUUCACUGUAUAUAUAAGUGUUAUCAAUACUCUAGAGUAGCCUCUUAGCAAUGCCUUCCCAACCUGGUAAUACUUUAGGUAAAAUGCUACAAUGGUAUAAUUAUCUGUCCGCUUGCAGAAUCAUUCUUAGUUCAUAUUUAUCUUUAUUUAUUUCUACCUAGUCACAUAAAAUGAUAAGAUUUAGUACCAGAGUUUAUUCCUAGCUUUACAAUUAGGGAUGACAACCUAGUUUCACAGUUAGGAGUAAGGGUCAAGAGGCUAGUGGCUAGUUGCUAAAGGCAAGUUAAUUAAUACCAACAUUUCUAGUGUUAUUGCAUGGGAUAAAGAUUUGGGUUUUAUUGCAGUAACGUUAGAAAUGCCAACAAGCAUUUUUGGCGCCGUUACCGGGGAAGGCUAAUAAACUUAGGAAAAGUAUUGAUAACCAUAUGCACCACAAUAGAGAAGUCUCCUAAAAGGCUAUCAACAGGUCGAAGUCCCAUGUGUCAAAGAUAUAAAAGCUUAAAUGUACUGGGUUCCUUCUACCUAGAUGGGUAGGAUGUGUAGGAUUCCUAAACUGGAGAUAAUAUGUCCCAAGAGACUUCUCAUGAAUUUUAUUGUUGGGAUUAAUGUCAUGUCUUGUAUUAAAUGUUCUGCAAGAGACAUAGACAUGAUGUUUAUCCCUACAACUGGAUUAUAGAGAGCUUUUAUUUGGCCCAUAUUGAUUAUGCAAUGAAUUGGAAUAGAAGAUGAAUCUAAAUGGAUUAUUUCAGUGGAAAGCUCUAAUUCUUCUAACCAUUCAUUACUUAUAAUAGAUACUAAUUCUCCUUUCUUCUCGAGGGAAUAUCCUCAGGGGGAUUAAAAGACUCUCUAGAGUUUCUUUGUGGCCUCUUCACAGAGUGAUAAUUCAAGAUGUUUCCAAAUUCAGAAAAGAUAUCAGGUUCUAUGUCUAGCAUAAAAUCUGGAAACAAAAUUUGUUCAUUUUCUUGCUCUAGACAUGUGUUAGCUGAAGUAGAGGUUGUGUCUAGCGAAGGGUUGGUUUCAGCUAACUAGGGUUGAGGCUCUACUUCUAGGAGGUAAUCUAAUUUAGUGGAUAGGAUUUGAUCUAGGAUUAAUCUUGUUUUCUCAGAAGAGAUAUGCAAGAAAGAUCCUCUUGAUGUAGUGUCGAGCAACUUUCUACUUUCUCUACUCAGGCCUUUAUAAAAAUGUUGUAAAAGAAUAGGGUCUUGUAGACUAAGGUCCAGACCGGAUGCUAAAAGUACAGUAAAUCAAUUCCAGGCUGAAGCCAAGGAUUCUUUAGAUUCUUGCUUUAUAGUAAGCACCUUGACUCUAAGGUCAAUGAUUUGGGAGAUGCGAUAGAAAUCUAGGCAAAAGUUAGAACAUAAAGAUCCCCAAUCGCCUUGUUGCUUACCUACUACUCUAUUAUACCAUUGUCUAGCUUUUCCCUUUAAUGAGAAAGGAAAUAGCUUCCAACGGAGAGUUUCAUCAGAUAUGCCUUCAAUGCGAAGACAGUCACAUGUUUGCUCAAAGUCUCUAAUGUGUAGGUAAGGAUUUUCAUCUCCUUCUCCUGAAAAGGAUAGGCUUUGGACCAACACAAUGAACCACGGACUUAACCUAUAGCUACAUGUUUGGAUAGGUUGUGAUGACUCAUGUGGCACUAUGCUAGUGUCCGUGGGUGCAGAGAACUAAAGGAUAGGAAUGAAAUUUAAGGUAUCCAUAAAAGAAAAGGUAAGAUGUAAGAUAAGGUGAGAUAACAGAAAAAAGAUAAAAGUGUGAUACAAGGUAGAGUAAGACAAGGUUAUCUAAGCAGACCGUCUUCGAUCCCCAGCCUAGCCGCCAGCCAGCCACCGCCGUCGCCACAACCACAGCCAUGGCUCCUCCUCCUUCUCCCACCUACUUCAACUCCUUCCCCCACCUCCCAACUCCAUGUGGGCGCACGUUGCCCCGAAAUCCCACCGCUCCUCUCUUCAUGGAUGCGGGUGUGGGCGUGGUGGCUGCUCCUCCGGCCGCGGGCGCGCUGCCCCUAGGCGCAGGCAUGCCCCUGAGCAUGCCUCCCUUGGGCACACUCCGGGUGCGGCCACCCUAGGCACGGGUGCGCUUCCCCUGAGCAUGACUCCGGGCAUGGCUACCCUGGGCGCAGGCGCGCUGUCCCUGGGCGUAACUCUGGGCCGCGUGGCUCUUCUGGUCGCAGAUAAGGCUCUUGGGCAUGGGCGCAGAUGUUGGGGACGCGGUCAUCGCCGCCAUGACUGCCGCCAUGGCUGCCGGACUAGGCAUGUCGUGGGCUAUCGUAGCCGGACUGGGCAUUGCUGCGAGCUGAUGCAGCCGCGGCGGUCUUCACCGCCCCGCCUCCACCCAACUCCGCCCGAGCUGGCGCAGCCAUGGCAGUCUUUGCCGCUUCACCUCCACCCAACUCCGCCCUCACCGCCACCGUCGUCGCUGCCCAGGUCGCAGCUACGGAGGGCCUAGCCCAUGUGCGUGAGGCUGCCCUCGCUAGGGAGCGCGAUCGUGAUGCGACCGAUACCCUGGCUCGCCAGAUCGCCGAAGCAAAGUAGCUUCUUGGCCUUCCUACCUCGCCCGAUGUUGGGGCCACAUCGUCCGGAUCGGUCGGUCCCCACGUGUCUCACACCCGCCUCCUCGUUUCGGUCGUCCUCGAGCCCGAGUCACCCUCCUACGCCCGCUGGCUGGAUCUGAUCCUCCUCACACUCCGCCGCUAUGCCCUCGAUGACCAUGUCCUCAUCGAUGCCUUGGUGGCGGUCUAGACCCCUGCGUGGCUGCGUCAUGACAGCAUCGUCCUCUCCUGGAUCCUCAGGACAACUCCAUCAAUCUCCACGAUCUCGUUUGCAUCUCCACGGAUGCUCGUUGAGCCUGGCUUGCACUCGAGGGCCAAUUCCUAGGCAAUGCCAAAGCUUAGGCUCUACAUCUCGAUGUGAGCUUCCGUACCUUCAUCCAAGGCAACCUCUCUGUUGGUGACUUCUCUUGCCAGAUGAAGAGUAUAACAGACACCCUUGGUGACCUCAGCUGGCCCGUGGAGGACUGUCUCCUAGUACUCAACGUCCUCCGUGGGCUCAGUGACCGCUACGACCACCUCCAAAUGUGGAUCACCUGGCAGCGGCCCUUCUCCACCUUCCUGUAGGUCUGUGACGACCUUGUCAUGGAGGAGCUCACUCAAGGCCUACAGCCUGGGUCCACCUUCAUGCCAGGGCCCUCGUCCUCCUCGACUCCUCUCGUCGCUACUCCAGUGCCAUGUCCGACCGCUCCACCACAGUCAUCCCUUCUUGGUCCUCUCCCCCCCGGGCCAAGUGGGGGUAGGGAGCCGUGGCGGCCACCGUCGUCGAGGCGAGGGACGUGGUGCAGGUCAUGGGGGUAACACGGCGCCGGCACCACCAUGGGGUGCACCCCAGCCAUCCUUCCCAAACCCAUGGUUAGGGCCUGUUGACACUUGCUAACACCACUUGAAUACUAUGUUGUCAUCCCCAGCAUGGCACUAGAGUGUACUAUGGUAUUUAUACGCACACAGAUAAUCCGCAAGCGCACGGAUACUGUUGAAGCUUUUACCCGGUUAAAGGUUUUAUCGUAUCCACAGGGAAACGGGAGAACUAACUACGCUCUAACUUAACCAAGAUAAAUAGAUAAGUGUAAAUAGGAAAGAUGGUAGAAUUGAAUAAGAACAAUAUUAAAGGUAAGAUAACAGUGAGUGAUAAUAUGGGAAUAGAGAAUAGAGCAAUUCUAGUAUAUGGGCGAUGGUAGCAGAAUAGAGUAUAACUAUGGUUUCUCUACUUCAAAGGGGUAUGUCUAUGUCUGGGACGAACCACGUGAUAACAGUACACCACAAAGGAUGCUUAUCCUUAGGCCGAUAAGCCCUACCCGUCCUGCUAACGAGAGGUGGACUACAGAGGACCAACGUAACUGUCACCUACGCGGCCUACCACACGAUCCAGCUAGACAGGGGAUAUCCACAAGUAAUCUAGAUCUAAGCACCUCGCUUACACCUAUACUACAACUCUCACCUAUAGCGUCCUAUAGAUUAAAGUACUCAAAAGAGUUGUGAACCAGAACAUACAUGAUUAGUAAUUGCAUAAUGAAUUAGAAGUAGAUUACCAGAGUCAUCCCAUGAGCAAGCUUGAUUAGAGCUUGAUCAUGACGAAGUACAACCGGAGGAAGAACCGACAAGACGGCCUCUCCUCUAAUCCUCCUUCGCUCUCCAUCUUGCUACUAUCUAGAUCUAGUCUAGUUUAGAGAAGAGAGGAGAGCUCUCAUCUCUAAACCCUAGCUUUUGCUCUGUCUAUGAAUAAUGAAUAAUGAUCAAGGGGUGCCUCCUCCAGGGGCCAGGGGAUCAAACCGACAUUGAUCGUGUGGUUUUCCUUGAAGUAUUAGGUCGGUGGAGCAUGAUCCGCGAAGUUGAAGCUGAUUGGUUACUGUAGCUGGGCAGGCACCCAAGGGACUUGGGCGGGCGCCCUGCCCCCGGGCCCGAUCGGCCUCCCGUUCGUUCCCGUGGCUUCUAGAGUCUUCUAGAUGGUAGAAAAUUGCGCGGCACGUUAAUAUCUCUAUGUAAACCCGACGUGUGGGCCUUUCUUUCAUAUUUCCUGAUAACCCUCUGCAGAAAUAGACAAACACCAAAACUCAUGGAAUUCUGUCUGAUAAAACCCUAAGUCUAGAUGUUGAUUUCAUUUGGAUCCUUUUCUUUGUUUAUUUGAUAAUUAAAUUUGAUACUUAAGGACCGUCAACAAACUCCCCCAAGCUUACCUCUUGCUCGUCCCUGAGCAAGGAUAGACUCAGCAAUGGAUCAGAAGUUGUUGCAAUAUCUUAAAUAUUUGAUGGUACACAUGCUUUUAAAUAAGAUCUCAUCUCUGAGUUAGAGUAAACUGUCAAGAACUAAAACUUACUUACUUUACCUUUCACCAUGGGACUUGUAACCGUCACUUCUGUCUUGAGUAGUUAAAAGAUAGAACAGUCUAGCCAAGUGCCAUGUCUCUUAUUCUUGAUCAGCUAUAGAUCUGGAGUUUUUUGCACAUUUUCAAAUAAAACUCAGAGAUUCCUUGUAUGACUCUCUAAAUCUCUCUUUUGUGGUAUUUCUGGAUCCUUACCAAGGCAGUGAUGGUAUAUGCCUUCUCUCAAGAUAUGUGGUAUUUGUGGUAUAAGGCAUAGUGACAUUGCCUUCUCUCUCACCCUACUCUAAUAAGGCUUUAAUAUCUGGAGCUCAUAGGUGGGAGACAGCUAAUACAUACUUACAAGACAUUUAUUGCAUAGUCAAACCAUGGAUCCAGAGAAACAAGUCAAUAAGUCAAAUCAAGAUAUCCAUGUGUGGCGAAUGAAUGGUGUAUGGUGAUGAUGGUGAUAACAAUGGUGGAAGUCUAAUUCUACUUUUGCUCUUUUGAGGGGAUACAUACCUUCCUUGCUUUUUGAAACUUUAUGAGGAGAAUGAGAUGCUCUAUCUUUCAUUUUUCUUUCGUCUCAGGUGGGUAUCCUGUACCCCUAAUUCUACUGUCGGACACUUGUCCAUUUUUACCUCUCGUCUCACUCUUUUUUCUUUUCUUUCGAGGUUCCGGGCACUUCCCCUUUUUAUUUCCUCGUUUAUUUAUUUUUUUUCUUUUCUUCUCUUUUCUUUUUUUUCAGAGCACUCAUCUCUUGAGAUAAUAUAGCAAGUGGUAGUAGCAAGAUAACUUGAGCAUUUAUUUCACAAGGGAAAACAGAAAUAUUUUUGGCUAUUCUCUUCCGGAUUAGGAGUAGAAUAUUUUUGGGUGGUUCUGGAGAUGGACAUGGAUGGAUAUAUAUGGAUGGUACUUCCGGAGUAGAAGUAGCAUAUAUGAGUGAACGUGCAAGUGAAUCUUGAUUUAACCACAUGACAAGCUCCUAAGGGUCUACACAGCUUGACCACACUCAAUGCUCAUAAGCAGUAAAUCAUAAAUGUGUGGCUCAAAGUCUAGCAAGCAUGUAUAUAUGGCUGUGGUAUUAAACUCUCAUCAUACAGGAACUCAUCAUGCAAUAUUUUAAAGAUUUUUCAAAGAUAAAAUUCUCCAGAAUUCUAGCAUCUCUAGGAACAGAUAAACAGCAGCUCAACCUUCCCAUAUCAUAUCUGUUAACAACUUAGAUUUUAGAUCAAGUUUUCAUCCCACAAGUUUAGAUCUAGAGCAAGCUUUAAAUUAUAACAGUUAUGUCUAAACUUGAGAGAGAACUUCAAAUUUGCAAAUUAGGCAGAGCAACUAUUCAUCAUAUCCAUGCUAGAGUUUUAUUAUUAAGAUUUAGAUUAGCAUAGCCACUUUAUUUAUUAAACACACUAAGCAAAAGAUAUAUAUAUAAACACAAAAUCUUUAUUUGGUUUUUCAUAGUUUAUGUAUUUUAAUAUUCUAAUAUAAUAUAAGUAUAAAGAUAGGUAGAAAUACUUAGCGAGAUAAAUGGGGGUGCUCUUCCCCCAAGCUAAAUUUUGACGUAAUUUCUCUUGAUGUAGCUAGCAGGUGGCAGAGUUGUAUUUGAAAGUCAGCAGCAUUCUGACAGCGAUUACAAUGUCCUCCGUCUGCUAGUCUUCUUGAUUCUUAAAUUCUGUGGAGCUCAAAUAGACAACAAAGCUUGUGGAACUAAUUAAGUGUUAGCAUAAAUAUCUAGCCUUCAUCAUGUUGAGCUUCCUCAAUAAAUAUUACUCCCUGUUUUUAUAUUUUUAUUUUCUAAAGCAGAGAAGAAAUAUUUAUUUUAUUUUUAUGCCACCACAGUGAAGGUACUUAUGGGUUUUUAUGCCACUCGUAUACUCACAUGGGGCUUAGUAUUUUUUAACAUUUUUAUUUUCUUUUCAAGAUAGCAUGAUUAACUAAUAAUCUAUUUAAGGAAAGUAAAUAAUUAAAGGGAAAAGGGAAUGCAGAAAGGAUAAAUAUGGAUAACUACCGAUCUUACCUUUCGGCGAUGGUUCAAUGUUUUUAAGUCUUCUUAACAAGACUUCUCACCGUGUUCAUUUUUCAGGUGCGUCAUUUGAUUCAGGUGCGGACCUUGACGUCUGCACCUCUUCAUUUGCCCAGCAGUUCGAAGUGCGGCGUUGGCAGUAUCCUGCUCAGUGUGUUUGUGCUCGUAGAUCCAGGUCCUUUACUUGGUAAAGUCUGAGAGUUAUAAAACUCCUCCGUGUUUUGCUCGAAGUGUACCUACUCAUAGAGACAAGGCAGAGAUCAAGUGCAUGGGUCCUCUUGGUGGAGAACACCAACAGAACCUAAAGUGUAUUUGUUCUUCUCUAACCCUAAGCAUAGUGAGCAAGACAAAGUUGAUGGAUGAAAAGUUCAUGAGUGUAGCACUUAUAACAUUUGUCAGAUCAGAUCGCUCAACCUUAUGGAAAGAUAAUCUAUCUAUGUAUAUGUCUUUUUCUUUAUAUCUCUCAAAGAUUGAAUGUGUAACAUUUUAGCUCAUAUGAUUAGGAGUGUAGGAUUAUGGAGGCAGUACUAAGAACAAGGAUUAAAGGACUAAACAUGUUGAAUCAGUUGGGUUGGUUAAUCUAGAGUUGUAAAUCAUACAUGUUUGACUCUUUUAUUUAUAUGAACGCCAGAACCAAGGAGAAGCUUAUAAAAGUGAUAGUCAAGUACCUUAAGAUGUUACCUUGCUUGAAGAGUGAUGGUACAGUAUCACCUUGUGGAAGCUUUCCUUUCUUAGCGGUUGUGCAUCGUGUUUGUGGCACCCUCCAUGGAUCAUCUCUCUAUGAUGAAUGAGCUAUGUCCUUCUUGUGCAAAUUAUUAAACUUCAUGUGUCACUCUCUUCGUCUCUGAUGUGAGUUUAUUUCAGGACUUCCCAAAUCGAUAUUGAAAAUUUUUUCUGCAGGGGUUAGUCCGUCAAAAAUAUACCAAUGUCUACACAAGCAGUUUUUAGUUCAAUAACCGAACUAGACUCCAUGUCUAAUCAGAUUAAGGAAGGCUGUUUAACCUAAGCACCAUGCUUAAUUUAAAAGCCAAUAGAAGUAUGUGCAGUACUUCCAAACUAACACUUACUAGUAAAUAGACAAAGGUAACAUGACAGCAUUUAUAGAGAUCUACUCAAGUGGAGAUGAAGUAGUGUGAUUAGUAUUUAACAAUUUGAGCAUGUCUUAAAUGUAGGGACAACCAACAUAGCAACAUGGCAAAGGAUGUUUUUAUGUAAAGUACUCCCCCAAGCUUGAAUUCUGCAGAAUUCAAGUUUGGAUGAAUUUAAUUCAGUGUUGC
rnacentral:lncRNA from 1 species